rnacentral:rRNA from 1 species
AAAAAAGGCCUUUACGUCUUAUCACCAACCCAUCGUAUGUCUCAUAGAAUGUAAAUAUAUGUCCUCGCCUUAAAAAGCGUUGAUAAACUUAUACAACUUUCAACAACGGAUCUCUUGGCUCUCGCAUCGAUGAAGAACGCAGCGAAAUGCGAUAAGUAAUGUGAAUUGCAGAUUUUCAGUGAAUCAUCGAAUCUUUGAACGCACCUUGCGCUCCUUGGUAUUCCGAGGAGCAUGCCUGUUUGAGUGUCAUUAAAUUCUCAAACUCCGAUCGAUUUGUUUCGACUUCGGGGCUUGGAUUUGGAGCGUGCUGGCGUCGGUCGGCUCCUCUUAAACGCAUCAGCGGAAUCUAACGUUCCGGACGUCAGUGUGAUAAUCACGUUGCGCUGUCUUUCGGUCCGAAAAGCCCGCUCACAAUGGUCUUCGGACAACUUCAUAUCAAA